UUUUAUUUGAGAGUUUGAUCCUGGCUCAGGAUGAACGCUGGCGGCGUGCCUAACACAUGCAAGUUGAGCGAUUUACUUCGGUAAAGAGCGGCGGACGGGUGAGUAACGCGUGGGUAACCUACCCUGUACACACGGAUAACAUACCGAAAGGUAUGCUAAUACGGGAUAAUAUAUUUGAGAGGCAUCUCUUAAAUAUCAAAGGUGAGCCAGUACAGGAUGGACCCGCGUCUGAUUAGCUAGUUGGUAAGGUAACGGCUUACCAAGGCGACGAUCAGUAGCCGACCUGAGAGGGUGAUCGGCCACAUUGGAACUGAGACACGGUCCAAACUCCUACGGGAGGCAGCAGUGGG
rnacentral:rRNA from 1 species